CGUAUGGGGCGAGCGUUGUUCGGAAUUAUUGGGCGUAAAGGGCAUGCAGGCGGUUAUCUAAGUCUGGCGUGAAAGACCCGAGCUUAACUCGGGGAACGCGUUGGAAACUGGGUGACUAGAGUUCUGGAGGGGAAGCUGGAAUUCCAGGUGUAGGAGUGAAAUCUGUAGAUAUCUGGAAGAACAUCAGUGGCGAAGGCGAGCUUCUAGCCAAGGACUGACGCUGAGAUGCGAAAGCGUGGGGAGCAAACAGGAUUAGAUACCCUGGUAGUCCACGCUGUAAACUAUGUACACUAGGUGUUGGGGAGUAGUCUUCAGCGCCGUAGCUAACGCGAUAAGUGUACCGCCUGGGGAGUAUGCUCGCAAGAGUG
rnacentral:rRNA from 1 species